UACGGGGGGGGCAAGCGUUGUUCGGAAUUACUGGGCGUAAAGGGCUCGUAGGCGGCCUAUUAAGUCAGACGUGAAAUCCCUCGGCUUAACCGGGGAACUGCGUCUGAUACUGGAUGGCUUGAAUCCGGGAGAGGGAUGCAGAAUUCCAGGUGUAGCGGUGAAAUGCGUAGAUAUCUGGAGGAAUACCGGUGGCGAAGGCGGCAUCCUGGACCGACAUUGACGCUGAGGAGCGAAAGCUAGGGGAGCAAACGGG
rnacentral:rRNA from 1 species